UACGUAGGGGGCUAGCGUUGUCCGGAUUAUUGGGCGUAAAGAGCGUGUAGGCGGCCAGGUAGGUCUGCUGUGAAAACUCGAGGCUUAACCUCGAGAUGUCGGCGGAAACCAUCUGGCUAGAGUCCGGAAGAGGAGAGUGGAAUUCCUGGUGUAGCGGUGAAAUGCGCAGAUAUCAGGAAGAACACCCGUGGCGAAGGCGGCUCUCUGGGACGGUACUGACGCUGAGACGCGAAAGCGUGGGGAGCAAACAGG
rnacentral:rRNA from 1 species